CACCCACGGAUUGAAGCUUCUAACCUGAGAACAUGGAAGCCUAAAAUUGUUGUCAACUGUGACAUGGAAAAUUGAACUGAUCUUCACAUAAUAGAUGAACUGGGCACUCUUUCUAUCAAGAUUCUAGAUGGCAUUAGCCAAAGAGAAACCUUUCAAGAUAUUCAAAGCAAAAGGAAAUACAAAACAUAUUAUUAUUCAAAGAAAAGAAAAGGAAGAGAGAGAGAAACAUCAUAUGGUACAAACUGCAGCCUGGUGA
rnacentral:lncRNA from 1 species